AGAGGCCAAAAUGGGGGAUGAGCACGGAAAUAGAUGUGGCGCAAGAGUCCCUCGGACCAUUGACUAAUGAGCCGGGAAGACAGGAUGGGUCAAGUCUCAGAGAGUGGAGGCAGUGGCACCCACCGCACAGCGGCACUGAGAAUCGGCGCCCACUCGUCACAUCCUCAUGAAAGACUACUGUGAAGUUAGAAGCCCAUCCUGCUGUUUUUGAUCCAGCUAAGAGUUUCCCCUCUGACUGACCAAAGAGCUUUUCCACGGGUUCAAAUGGAGGAUCUCAGGUGAUGUCUGAGCCGUGUUUUGCCGUAUCAAGUCUAUUCAGGCGCCUCGGAUUGUUGCCGCCUUGUCAAACCUUCACUGCUGCCUGCUGUGCUGUAAAUAUGCAGGCUA